rnacentral:lncRNA from 1 species
GAUUGAUAAGAUCAAGGACAUGUUCAUGACAUAAACUAUUUUGUCAAAAUUGCAUGUUGAUAUGAUUACAUAUGAAAUUAGAUUUUAGAACUUAGUAACCUAAUAUUCAGAUUAAUGAGAUCACCAGACUAUCCGAUCAUAAGAGAUCGAAAAGAUUAAUCUCUCUCUCUUGCCCAUUUGAUGGAUUCUCUUAUGAUGUGUAGUGGUGUCAUUGUGAUCCAUUUCAUGAAGAAGAAA